CAAUUUUUGACGGGGGUAACUACUUUGGCACAACACCGGCUUUGUUACCCUCUAGUCUCCGUGUACUUCAGAUACAUGUAUUUAUGCUGUUUUUAUGCGUAAUAAAAGGAAUAAAACACUAAUCUUGGCACGUCGCCUCCAGCAGGAAGUGAUCCGCUCAGCAGGCACUGCUCUCGUUAGCUACCAGGUUCAUUUGACGGGGAAAGAAAAAUGAGCCAGAAACAGCAGAAAACGACAUCCGUCCCCACAGUCUGUGCGGUCAGGGAGAUAGCGACCUUAGAGAGUUGAUACCCAGGCAUAUGUACACGCCGCAGUUUGGAAACAACAUCUGCACUUCAGGUACGCUGGAUUCUUCUGAUACUCACUUAAAUGUGUCCCUGGUGUCCAGCAGGCUGAAGAUCGACAUCUGGAGUUUCUCUCUGAAGCCUGACUUCCUCCUUGUGCUUCUGUGGCUUAUGCGGCCAUAAAUUCGUCACCAUGGCGACCAGCUGGAUUAUUGAAAGUCCCCCGUCUGACUUUCUGAGUGUUCACUGUGGCUCUGCUCUGCAGCUGGUCUCCUUUUCCACUUUGCAGUCACUUGAUGUUGAAGAGAUUCCACAUGUGCAGAGGCUCGUGGAAGAUAAUCUGAGGGACUUCCUCUUUCGUUAAGUUGAGCACAGCCACAGAUCCGCUGGCUUUUUCUUUUCUGCGAGCUCUUUUUUUUAUGCCCUCUGUACAUGUAAGGACAAUCUCUAUUAGCAUACUGAGGGACUUCCUCCUUCAUCCAAGUCUAACCACAGAGCCGCUGCUACCUCUCACUAUGACUGAGCUGUGGCUUUUCCAUUCCUGUGUCUAAUGUUUUUUUUUUAAAACUCUGUCAGUCCAUCACCACCUCAUCCUACAACCUAUAAUGUGAAAUUAAAGCUAAUAAGACGUUUAUAAAUUGGUUAUUUCCUCUUGGCUUAACCAGGCUUCAAACUUUACCACUACCAACUGGACAGCUGUCAAUAAAUCAAUAAAAUACAAAAGUGUGUGUGUUUGUUUUUCUUCUUUACAGUUUAAGUUACUGGUUUGGCAACAUAUUGUAAAAAAAACAAAGUUGCAAUUUAUACUUUAAGUACAUACCGGUGAUACAACCAUAAACAGAAGAUGUGGACAGUAUUUUUUCCAACAGGACACCAUAAACUGUGUG
ensembl:lncRNA